CUCUACAAAAAAAUAAAUGUCAACCCUAUUUUUUUUGUGCACCCAAGUUUGUGGAGGUUUAUGGCUAAUUGUACAAUAAAAUAAAAUAAAAUAAACACCUCAGGUACAAAUGGGGCUUAUGGCAUAAUCAUCAAAAGUCACACCUAAUGGUAUACAAAAUUUCAAUUAUAUAUGACGGUCACAAUGUCCAACGUCCGGGAAUGUCACACUUCCUGUUGAAUUUCUCCAGUAUUUUCCAACAAAUACAGAGUGGUUGCAUUCACUGAUGCUCAAUUCAAAUUGUGCUCGUCACUACUCAAACCUAGCCACCCUAUCUAAGGAAGCUUUUCUCACUUUUGAGUAAGGGACUAAUACAGCGGGAGCCAAUUGUCUUGAAGUGGACCUAGUGAUGUGGUGUAAGCACAGAGACAAAAUUUGGAUUUUCACAGUGCCCCAACCAACUGCUUUUAGGCUGACGGGGUUCCUUCAUUAUUCAUACCCCACUCUUCCUCAGCCUCGUUUCCGUUGACAAGAACUGCACCAUCUGUAGAAUCAGCAUCCACCACAACAGCCUCCUCUUGGCUCCCUUCUUCUCCAUUAUGUUCCUCAUUUAUCUGCUCAUCUCCAUUUUGUUCUGCAGCCUCAUGAUCAUAGUCUCCAUUUUCAAGAGGUUCUUCUACUUGCAAUUUUCUGAAAGCCUCAACAAGGGUCAUUUG
rnacentral:misc_RNA from 1 species